UACGUAGGUCCCGAGCGUUGUCCGGAUUUAUUGGGCGUAAAGCGAGCGCAGGUGGUUUAUUAAGUCUGGUGUAAAAGGCAGUGGCUCAACCAUUGUAUGCAUUGGAAACUGGUAGACUUGAGUGCAGGAGAGGAGAGUGGAAUUCCAUGUGUAGCGGUGAAAUGCGUAGGUAUAUGGAGGAACACCGGUGGCGAAAGCGGCUCUCUGGCCUGUAGCUGACGCUGAGGCUCGAAAGCGUGGGUAGCGAACAGG
rnacentral:rRNA from 1 species